GUUCCAGCCGCCGCGGUAAGACGAAGGGGGCUAGCGUUGUUCGGAAUUACUGGGCGUAAAGCGCGUGUAGGCGGUUUGCCAAGUCGGGUGUGAAAGCCUUGGGCUUAACCCAAGAAAUGCACUCGGUACUGGCAGACUAGAGGACCGGAGAGGAUAGUGGAAUUCCCAGUGUAGUGGUGAAAUACGUAGAGAUUGGGAAGAACACCAGUGGCGAAGGCGGCUAUCUGGACGGUUUCUGACGCUAAGACGCGAAAGCGUGGGGAGCAAACAGGAUUAGAAACCCGAGUAGUCC
rnacentral:rRNA from 1 species